rnacentral:rRNA from 1 species
UACGUAGGGUGCAAGCGUUGUCCGGAAUUAUUGGGCGUAAAGAGCUCGUAGGCGGUCUGUCGCGUCGGCUGUGAAAACCCGGAGCUCAACUCCGGGCCUGCAGUCGAUACGGGCAAACUGGAGUACUGCAGGGGAGACUGGAAUUCCUGGUGUAGCGGUGAAAUGCGCAGAGUAUCAGGAGGAACACCGGUGGCGAAGGCGGGUCUCUGGGCCGAUACUG